rnacentral:rRNA from 1 species
AGUGAACGCUGGCGGUAGGCCUAACACAUGCAAGUCGAACGGCAGCACAGUAAGAGCUUGCUCUUACGGGUGGCGAGUGGCGGACGGGUGAGGAAUACAUCGGAAUCUACUUUUUCGUGGGGGAUAACGUAGGGAAACUUACGCUAAUACCGCAUACGACCUACGGGUGAAAGCAGGGGAUCUUCGGACCUUGCGCGAUUGAUUGAGCCGAUGUCGGAUUAGUUAGUUGGCGGGGUAAAGGCCCACCAAGGCGACGAUCCGUAGCUGGUCUGAGAGGAUGAUCAGCCACACUGGAACUGAGACACGGUCCAGACUCCUACGGGAGGCAGCAGUGGGGAAUAUUGGACAAUGGGCGCAAGCCUGAUCCAGCCAUACCGCGUGGGUGAAGAAGGCCUUCGGGUUGUAAAGCCCUUUUGUUGGGAAAGAAAAGCAGCAGGUUAAUACCCCGCUGUUCUGACGGUACCCAAAGAAUAAGCACCGGCUAACUUCGUG